UUCUCCUGUAGGCCAAUCAGGUUGCGGAUUCACUUUCACCUGGAGCUGGAUUGGGUGGCUUCUGCGGACCAGUCAUACUGCUGUAUUGUUCUAGGACCAAUCAGACUGCUGCAUUCUGGACCCUAUUGUUCUAGGACCAAUCAGACUGCUGCAUUCUGAAUCCUAUUGUUCUAGCACCAAUCAGACUGCUGCCUUUUGGAUCCUAUUCAACUCAGUACAUAACACUGAACAACUCUGGCUCCCCCCAAAAAGCUCAACAACUCUGGCCCCCCCCUCAAAAAUAUGAAAUAAAGUCAAACCAUUUUUGCAGGCAAAAAAUAAUAAUAAUUUCAAUGGGGGGUGGUGACAAGAAAUUUUCCGCACUGGGUACCACCUGACCUUGCUAUGCCACUGAGAGUGGGGCUGCUCUUUCUAAGAUUCCUGCAUUGCAGUGGGUUGGACUAGAUGACCCCAGGGCCCUUCCAACUCUGCAGUUCUGUGAUUCUGAGCGGGGACAUUUCUCCACCUCACCCUCUGUUCCCCUUGCCACUAUCCUUAGGGGUGUUUGAGCAGGAUCUGUGCAUCUGGCCUUCCUAGGAACUCUACUCUCAACAUAUAAUUAUAAACAAAUCACUGCACUGCAGAGCCAAACUUCAGACUUUGCCCUUUGAAAAGGUGAGCUUUCAGAAAACCCCUGUCAUGGCUAGCAGCAUUGGAAAAUAGAGGCCUUGGCUUUUCAGCAUUUGUUCCUCUCUGCUCGUUCCCCCGCUCCCCGGCACACCUCCUCAAAACCGAGCCAAAUUGCUUUAGUUUUCCUUGUUAUUUCCAUGUGCUCAUUAGAGAAGAGCCAUUAGAGUGUGUGAGAACAGAAUGUCUCCUGAGCUGCGGAGGGGAAGUGAAGGCCAAAUAUUGGACCCGUUUCAAGCUCCGAAACAAUACCACCGUCCGACCGGAGAGCUGUGUAUAGCAUUAGAACAUUGUGUCCCAGAUCAGCACUUUUCUACCAGUGCAGUGAAAAUGCGUCCCUGCACAAAGUUCUUCCCUAGACGGUCACCUGCAGUUGCUUAUUCAGGUAUGUGGCCCAAAGUAAAGACAGCCAUUCUCAUUGGCUCCCAGAGUCACACUGUUACCUGUGACGUCUCCUGAUUGGGCUGUGACCUGAAUGGAUCAGAUGAUGAAGGGGCUGCUGGCUUGUCUAAUAACCUCCAAUGGCUCCCUCAAGAUGAUGGGCUUUUUGACCUGACGAG
rnacentral:lncRNA from 1 species